AGCUUGAGCUGAAGGUCUGGCUGAUGGUGCGUGAAGGGGUGAGGAGAAACUACGAAACCCACGCCGCUCGA
rnacentral:tRNA from 1 species